GAUGAACGCUGGCGGCGUGCCUAAUACAUGCAAGUCGAGCGAACAGACGAGGAGCUUGCUCCUCUGACGUUAGCGGCGGACGGGUGAGUAACACGUGGAUAACCUACCUAUAAGACUGGGAUAACUUCGGGAAACCGGAGCUAAUACCGGAUAAUAUAUUGAACCGCAUGGUUCAAUAGUGAAAGACGGUUUUGCUGUCACUUAUAGAUGGAUCCGCGCCGCAUUAGCUAGUUGGUAAGGUAACGGCUUACCAAGGCAACGAUGCGUAGCCGACCUGAGAGGGUGAGCGGCCACACUGGAACUGAGACACGGUCCAGACUCCUACGGGAGGCAGCAGGAGGGAAUCUUCCGCAAUGGGCGAAAGCCUGACGGAGCAACGCCGCGUGAGUGAUGAAGGUCUUCGGAUCGUAAAACUCUGUUAUUAGGGAAGAACAAAUGUGUAAGUAACUAUGCAAGUCUUGACGGUACCUAAUCAGAAAGCCACGGCUAACUACGUG
rnacentral:rRNA from 1 species